ensembl:lncRNA
AUGGGUUUUGUCCACAGGCCAGCUGGAGUUUUGUGUUGCAGAAGACUUGCAGAAACGAGAUUUGAGAUGCCUCGGACGAAGCAGUCUCAGCGUUCUCAGGCAGCCAAGAAGAGAAUCGUGAACCGGCUAGCUGCUAAUCCUGAAGAGAUCUUGUCACCUGUUAAAAAAAGAAAAGAAAUACAAGAGCCUGAUCCUACUUUUGCCAAUUGUUCCGAAUUUGCCAAUUGUUCCGAAUUUUCCGAUUGUUCCGAAUUUGCCGAUUGUUCCGAAUUUGCCAAAUAUUCCGAAUCUUACCCAAACUCUGACCCAAAGUCUGAUUCAGACGCUAAUUCAAAGUCUAUGCCAAAGUUUCCAAAAGAUGCUGAGAUGACUAUGCAUGCUGUUUCUUCUUUGUCUCCACAGACUUCCUAUAUCAGAGGCUCUUUCCAUCAAGGAGAUUACCGUUUUGGCUGGAAUAGGGGAAGCCAAUGUGGUGCAAACAGUUUAACUGCAAUUGUGAUGUGUAAGAUGAAAAGUGUGUUGCAGUGGACAAGAAGUGACCUGAAUGCUGUUUUGAUCCACGGAAAUGACCUGUACAGUGCAAUGAGAGACGCAGGGAAGAUCAACGAUCCUGAAUCAGGCUUCAUAGCUGUUCAUGAGCUACCAGACACACACACUCUGAAAGAUUGUCAGUUUUCAAUAAACUAUGGUGAAACAUUGACUGGCUUGUUUGGUGUCAAUAAAUAUGAUGGUGAACUACGAGGGUAUGCAAUGUCAUUUGAUGAAGCAGUAAAUCGAGCAUUCCAGAGGUUUGAUGCAUGCUUAGUGAAUAUUAAGCUAACCAUAUGUGCAGCUGUCAGAGAAGGUUCCUGGUAUGCAGUGAUUGAUCCACAUUCAAGACGCUUUGAUGGCAGAUGUGUAGCUGACGGUAAGAGUGUAGUGGUUUACCAUCGUGACUUGCAUUCUCUGAUUGUUCAUUUCCGGAAACUCGCUGCGUCUAUUAAUGCACGUUACCAUGAGUUUGAGGUAACUGGGGUCAAUGCAGUUAUGAUUGACAGAAACGAUCAACAGGGUAAGCCAUUCUGUCCAGUGAUCCAGAACACUGAACGAGCAGUGAAAGAGAGUGAAGGUGAUGUUGGCUGCACUCAAUCUCUGAGUGAUUUUGUAAACUCUGUGAACGAAACUUGUGUAGAACAGAAAACGGAAAUGGCUUCAUACACACUCAUGGAAAUGCAGGUGAUGUUGAAUUUAUUUCAGAAAGUGCCAGUGAUUCUAUACAGUUUAGUCCAUUAACACUUGAGCAACAAAAGAGUGUUUGCUUAAAGCUGAACAUUGCAAAUGUUGUAAAAGAAUGAAAUAAUCCAAAUGUGAUGCCAAUGGAAAUUUCUGAGCCUUGUGAAACUAUGAAAAUUGUUAAAGAUGCAAACUGCUUUUUUCGAGCCUUAGCCUAUGAUGUAAGUGGAACGGAACGAGAACACAGAAAAGUAAGACGGGCUGUAGUUACACACAUACUGCAGAAUGAAGAAAAGUAUGUACAGUAUCUCAGACAAGGAUACAGCUCUGUACCGGAGUACAUUGCCACAUCAAGAAUGAAAUUUGUUGGAAAUUGGGCAACAGAGAUGGAAAUACAAGCAGCCAGUGAUUUAAUUGGUGUAGAUAUUUUUACAUACAGUCAAGAGAAAUGGUUUAAGUUUUCAUCUUCAAAUGCGUCCUUUAAUACACAUGGCUGUCAAGACAUCGGCAUAUAUUUGAAACAUGUGAAUAGCUGUCAUUAUGAAGUCGUCGUAUGUGGAAAAAGCAAGGAUGGUAACUGUGCUUCCAUUUGUAAAUCAGCAAUUCAAGAUCCAUUGUUUAAUGUAGCAACAAAUGUGUCUUCAAAGUCACGUGAGGAUUAUAAGAAGAAACUUCAAUGCAACAAUAGUACUGAGUUCAAAGAAGAAAAACAAGUGAAGUCAAAGAAAAGUUUCCAUGAGGAUGAAAGUUACAUUUCAAUGAUGUGAAAGUUACAUUUCAAUGAUGAAAUCCAUCAAUAAAAAAUAUAAGAAAAAUGAACAGCAUAAAAGAAAAGUAAAGAAAAGUCUGGACAAAUCAAAUGAUUUACAUUGCAAAGCUGUGUCAGAAGUUGAUAUUGCCUGUAGUCAAUCUUUGAGAGAUUUUAUAAAUACAGACAAAGUAUCUGUGAAUGAAAUGUAUGCUGAAAAAAAAACAGAAACACCUUUUUUAUACCUAACAAAAGAAAAUGCAAGUGAUGUUGAAUUUAUUUCAGAAACUGCUACUGUUUCUUUACAGAGUGUGGAAAAGUACAA